rnacentral:lncRNA from 1 species
UUGGAGAUGGUGAGUGACAAAGGGAUUCCUAUGAUCAUACUGCAGAAAUGGACCUGCUCCUUCAGCGAUGGGCAGGUCAGAGCAGGCCUCCCCACCUGGGGGGCUGCCCCUGUACCACUUCCAGCACAGAGGAGUAGAGCAGAAGGCCAGCUUCCAGUAUUAGAGAAAAUCUAUACAUGUCUCUGAUCUCCCUCUACCUGCAAAUGGGUAGGUUUCCCACCUGAUGAAAAAGUAAGGUGGAACAAAAGGACAUGAGUGCUUGGGGGGAAAAUGCUUUCUCAUGGAAACCAGAACGAGGUAAGAGCAUCCCUGGAUAACCCCGUGAAUGUGAUGAUAUGAUGUGUGCUAUGUUAAACAGUUGAUUGUCAUCAGUGGUGAACAUUUGAGUCACUUCUGUCCCUGUCUUGGGUGGUGCUUUUAAUUGUAACCAAAUAGUAUAAGUAUUUUGCUACUUUUAUUAGACAUGCUAAAGACAUUAAAAUUAGGUGAAAAAUAAUUAACUUAGAAAAAAACAAUUGAUGUGCAUUAUUACUUUGCCAGGCUCAACCACAUAACACAUGGGAAUCACAAUCCCUAAUCUAAAUAGUUAGAUUAACAAUUAUGUGGAGGCUAUAAUGUCACCACACAACUGAACACUUUAUGGUGAUAACAUUAAUAUAAAUAGAAGGAGUUUAGCCGGGACAUAACACAUCCUGGCAUUUUUUGGACCUAUAGUAAGUCCUUUCCCUAAAACUUUUAAGUGUGCGUAUACAUUAUUUUUGCCCAACAAAAUAUCUCUUCUAAUUUGCUAUAUUUACUAUAUUUUACUAUUUAUUUCUUCUUAUAUGAGAACCUUUUAUAUGAAAAAUGGAUGGAGUGAGGGAAUUAGUGGUGCAAGGCCUCCAGUAGGAACAAAAAGCCCAUUAGCCCUAAGGUAGAAAUAAUCAUGGAAUAUCCUAAUGAUGAAAUGAUGGAAAGUCAGUGACUGGAGUGCACGUAAAGUGGGAGGAAAUGAGACAGAUCAGAGAAGCAGCCAUGGCCAGAACAUACAGAGCAGACCAUCUACUGGAAUCUCUACCUGGAUGUGACAUGAACAUAUCUAAAACUUAACUUCUUAUCCUUAUGUUUCCUUACCCACCACUUUCUCAGCUCUCUUUAUUUUCUUUCUCAGCAAAUAGAGCCACCACCUAUAUGGGCAUUUAAGCCAGAACUGUCAUAACCAUCCUCACUCCUCCUUUUCCUUUGGGCCUUUCAUCUAUUAGUCACCAACUGCUAUUAACUCCAUCUUGUAGAUGCAGUCCAGUCUAAGUUUGCCCUCCAGCCUCUCUGCCAGUGUCUUCUUUCAGGCCUUGUCAUUUCUCUGCUGGAUAGUGAGACUUCUCUUCCUCUGUUCUUGCCUCUUUGCAGUUCAUUGUUCACAUCACUAUGAGUUCUCCCAAAUAUGGAUUUGAUUUUGUUAAUUCGUUACAUGAAAUUCUCUAAGUAUUUCCCAUUGCUUCCUGUCCACACUCCUUAGCAUGGCCUGUAGGGUCUUUCAUAGUCUGGCCCCUGCUUCUUUCCUAGUUCCUUCUUCCUCCGCCAUCUCCUUCAGCUCCCUGGCUAUACUGAAUUGUUCCUUGCUCUGUGCUCUGCAUACUUGCACUAUCCAUCUGGAAUGCCCACUAUAGCUUUGACCUUUUUGGAUAAUGACUAUUUUCCAUGUCUCAACUUGAGGGUUCCUUCUUAUCUAUGCUUGUAGAAAUCCAUCUGUAGCCAUGCUCUGACAUCAUUUUGCAACUGUUUGUAUGCCUGUGUUUUUUUCUGGGGGAGAGGCGGGGGGAGGCUCUGUACCCAGGCAUGAGGAAGUGCCCAGUCCAGGGAUCAAACCAGUGCCACAGCAGCAACUUGGGCUUCUGCAGUGACGACACUGGAUCCUUAACCCACUGCUCCACAGGAGAGCUCCCUGUAUGUCUGCUUUUUGAUUGUAAACUUCUUGAUGGCAAAUUAUUUGGGGGAUGUGUCAUUUCUUUUUUUCUCUAGUGCAUAGCGUAGUAUUGGAUAUAGUUGAUACUUAAUAAUUGUGAACAAAUAAUGGCAUUAUUAUCUUUGUGAAAUUCUCCCUUCAGAAACACAUUAUAACUCAAUUACUUCAAGAAUAUAAUGCUUUUUUUUUAGAAAGUAGUCUAGAUUUUUAUUUUACCAUUCUAUUUGUUGAUAAUACAUAAAAAGAUUCACAUGUAUUUAAGGAUGCACACAGGCACUAACACAUUUAUAGCCAUAUAUUUCUUAGAAGUCCAUCUAUAAUCUAGUUGUCUAACUUAUUUAGGGCAUUGUUUUCAAAUUUAUUUUUUCAAUUAAUAAAAUCAUACCCUUUGUGGUUAUUACUCCAUGGGGUGCAAGCACAAAAUUUAAAACUUCAAUUAAAAUACAUAAACAAAACAGUAGCAGUUAAAAUAACAUAUUUGAAAAAUCUUAAAAUAAUGCCCCAAUGGGGAAAGGCAAUUUAAAAAAAUACAUACACACACAUACAGAGAAGAACCUAUGAAGAAUAAAAUGUUAAUGAUUUAAAAAUAAUCUCUCUUUUGUAUUAUGAUAAACAAAUGCGGAUUUAUACUUUGCUCUUUUAAAUUGCCAUUUCUUAUUCUUUGUACACCAUCUCAUUCCUAAUUAUACACAGUUAAUCAAUAUUCAUCCUAUUAUUUUAAAAAAGCCUGAUAGAUUGAGUCACUAUCUUCUAAUUAUUGUUGAUGGCAGGAACAUUCCAAUUACAACAGAAGGGUACCAAUAGAAACCUAAAGGUUGUCAAGUAAGAAUCCAGCUUAUCCUGAAAUACUGGCUAAAUUUGUCUUUAUUUAUUUUUUUUAAUGGCUACAUCCAUGGCAUAUGAAAACUCUCAGGACAGGAAUUGAAUCUGAGGGGUAGCUGUGACCUAUGCCAUAGUUGUGGCAAUGGUGGAUCCUGCAUGGGAUCAAACCUGUGUCUCUGUAGCAACUCGGGCUGCUUCAGUCAGAUUCUGUUUUUUUAUGGUCACACCUGCAGCACAUGGAAGUUCCCAGGCUAGGGGUCCAAUUGGAGCUAUAGCUGAGGCCUAUACCACAGCCAUAGCAAUGUGAGAUCUCAACCACGUCUCCAACCUAUGCUACAACUUGUAGCAAUGCCAGGUCCUUAACCCACUGAGUAAGGCCAGGAAUCAAACCUGCAUCCUUAUGGAGACUACAUUGUGUCCUUAAUCCACUGAGCAGCAGUGGGAACUUGUGCAGUUAGAUUCUUAUCCUACCGUACCAUAGCAGGAACUCCAACUUCAUAUUUAAUAUAUUAAAUAACCAUAGAUCUUUUGCUUCUCACUUCAUGGUAAAUCACAUCGUUUUGAACUUUGGUUAAAAAGUAGAAGUCAAAUGAAAAACAUCUGCCCAGUGAGAAAAAUCAAAAUAGUGAUGAGAGGUGAUAGAAAAACCAGUCUAGGAGUUCCCAUUGUGGUUCAGCAGGUUAAGACCCUGACAUGGUGUCCCUGAAAAUGUGGGAUCAAUCCCUGGCCUCACUCAGUGGGUUAAGAAUACACCGGUACCAUAAGCUGUGUUAAAGUUCGCAGACCUGGCUUGGAUCCCAUGUUGCUGUGGCUGUGGUGUAGGCUGACAGCUGCAGCUCCAAUUCCGCUCCUACACCGGGCACUUCCAUAUGCAGCAGGUGAGGCCAUAAAAACAAAAAACAAACCAAAAAAAUGGUCUACACAAUGUUAGGGAUAGGUGACAGAGGUUUUUAUCUAAACAUUUAGUUGCUUUAAAACAUUAUUCAAGUGCCUUGAAGGGAAGUAGGUUUUGUGAGCUUCUGGAUAGAAUUUCAGGUGACUUCCCAACUAUCCAAUAAAACAGACAUUUAUUGAAAGUCUGUUAUGUGCAAGACCUCUUGGGAGGUAGAAAGCAGAAUAAGUUCUUGCACCUGGCCUCAAGGAGUUUAUAACUCUGUUGGGGUAAAGAAAAUACAUACACAGAGCACAGGCAUGUUAAACUUACUGGAUUGAAUAUAGAUAUUUAUAUUGUACUCUCUUCAAAUAACACUACCAUGAGAAUAAAGGAAUUGAAGAGGUGUGAAUUGUUAAGCAUAACCAUAAUGGGAGAAGGUACAACAACAGAGCAGGCUGUGUUUAGAAGAUAGAAAUGGAUGGAAAAACUGGCAGAGGUAGAUAACUGGUUCUAAGUGCCUACAGAUGGUAAUAGCAAAGAGAAAUAAAUCAAAUUUUGCUAUAGGACCCCAGAAAAUCUCUGAAUUUAAAAACACUUGGUAUCAUUGAAGACAGGAGUGAAGCACGGGACUGAAAACAGGAAGAAUUGGUUGGAAAUUUCUAUAACAAGAAACUAGAACUCAUUGGUCAUCUUUGCAUCUCCAGUGUUAAGAGGAAGCAGCAAUUUUUGAAAACAUUGAACUGGAAAGGCUAAUGUGAAUAGUGAGAGGGAAGACACUGUAUUGAAAACAGAAGGACCAAAUGAACAUCUUUGUACUGAAUGGUGAGACUUGCUGACCUUCUUGAGCUGCCUGCAGAAACAAAUCCAACUAGUUUCCAUGAGGAUUCAGGUUUGAUCCCUGUCCUCACUCAGUGGGUCAGAGAUCUGGCAUUGCUGUGAGCUGUGGUGUAGGUUGCAGAUGAGGCUUGGAUCCCACGUUGCUGUGGCUGUGGUGUAGGCCAACAGCUGUAGCUCUGAUUCUACCCCUAGGCUGGGAACUUCUGUAAGCCACAAGGGUGGCCCUAAAAAGAAAAAGAAAAAAAAUCCCACAUCUAAAGGGUCAUAUCUCUAGCUAACAGUGAAAUCUGCCACUUUACACACUUCUCAGUCAACUUUUAGUGUUUCACUCUUAAACAUGAAUGGUCAACAAUGAGCAGAUAUCUGAGGAUAGCCUCCAAGAAGUAAGGCAGAGCAAAAGACAGAGCGAUCCAAAAAGAACUCAGAGGAAAAUAUAGAUAUGAUAGGAAAUGGAAGAAAUGCAACCCUCUUCCACCUCAAAGGCAUUAAUGAAAUCCUCAGAAAACUGAAAUACUGAAUCUGUGAAUGAAGAACAAGAUGUUUUUUAAAAAAUUAGAGAACAAGGAGUCCUGUCAUGGCUCAGUGGUUAACGAAUCUGACUAGGAACCAUGAGGUUGCGGGCUCAAUCCCUGGCCUUUCUCAGUGGGUUAAGGACCCAGGGUUGCUAUGAACUGGUGUAGGUUGCAGACAUGGCUCGGAUCUGGUGUUGCUGUGGCUCUGGUGUACGUUGGUGGCGAUUGGACCCCUAGCCUGGGAACCUUCAUAUGCCGUGGAUGUGACCCUAG